GGGUUUGGUCUCCAGAAAG
rnacentral:snRNA from 1 species